rnacentral:rRNA from 1 species
UACGUAGGGGGCAAGCGUUGUCCGGAAUUAUUGGGCGUAAAGAGCGUGUAGGCGGCCAGAUAGGUCUGCUGUGAAAACUCGAGGCUCAACCUCGAGCUGUCGGCGGAAACCAUCUGGCUAGAGUCCGGAAGAGGAGAGUGGAAUUCCUGGUGUAGCGGUGAAAUGCGCAGAUAUCAGGAAGAACACCUAUGGCGAAGGCAGCUCUCUGGGACGGUACUGACGCUGAGACGCGAAAGCGUGGGGAGCGAACAGG